AUGCACGCUGACAGAAUGCUUAACACAUGCAAGUCUUUGGCGAAGCUGUGCUCGCACAGCCUAGCCAAGGCGGACGGGUGAGUAACGCGUAAGGAACUUGCCCUGCAGUCAGGGAUAACAGACGGAAACGACUGAUAAGACCUGGUAAAGUCAGGCGGACUCAUGUCCAGCCUGAUGAAAAGAGAUGUUGCAGGAGAGCCUUGCGUCCUAUUAGCUUGUUGGUGGGGUAACGGCCCACCAAGGCGAUGAUAGGUAGCCGGCCUGAGAGGGUGGACGGCCACAAGGGGACUGAGAUACGGCCCUUACUCCUACGGGAGGCAGCAGUGGGGAAUAUUGGACAAUGGGGGCAACCCUGAUCCAGCAAUUCUGUGUGCACGAUGAAGGUUUUCGGAUUGUAAAGUGCUUUCAGCAGGGAAGAAAAAAAUGACGGUACCUGCAGAAGAAGCGACGGCUAAAUACGUG
rnacentral:rRNA from 1 species